GUAAUACUCCCUCCGUCCUGAAAUACUUGUCGAAGAAAUGCAUAAAAAUGGAUGUAUCUAGAACUAAAGUACGUCUAGAUACAUCCAUUCCUCCGACAAGUAUUUCUGGACGAAGGGAGUACUCC
rnacentral:pre_miRNA from 1 species